rnacentral:misc_RNA from 1 species
AACGCACGAGACCUGCGGACCUGCGGAAGGAUCAUUACAGAGUUGCAAAACUCCAAACCAUUGUGAACUUACCUUUGCCGUUGCUUCGGCGGGCGGCCCGGGUCCCGACCCGGCGCCCCCCGGCCCCGUCAGGGGCGCCCGCCGGAGGUAAACCAAACUCUUGAAUUGUAUGGCCUCUCUGAGUCUUCUGUACUGAAUAAGUCAAAACUUUUAACAACGGAUCUCUAGAUCGGAAGAGCA